rnacentral:rRNA from 1 species
AACGAACGCUGGCGGCAUGCCUAACACAUGCAAGUCGAACGAAACCUUCGGGCAUAGUGGCGCACGGGUGCGUAACGCGUGGGAACCUGCCCCUGGCUUCGGAAUAACAGCUAGAAAUGGGUGCUAAUACCGGAUGAAGUCUUCGGACCAAAGAUUUAUCGGCGAUGGAUGAGCCCGCGUUGGAUUAGGUAGUUGGUGGGGUGAAGGCCUACCAAGCCGACGAUCCUUAGCUGGUCUGAGAGGAUGAUCAGCCACACUGGGACUGAGACACGGCCCAGACUCCUACGGGAGGCAGCAGUGGGGGAUAUUGGACAAUGGGCGCAAGUCUGAUCCAGCAAGGCCGCGUGAGUGAUGAAGGCCUUAGGGUUGUAAAGCUCUUUUACCAGGGAUGAUAAUGACAGUACCUGGAGAAUAAGCUCCGGCUAACUCCGUG